rnacentral:RNase_P_RNA from 1 species
CCAGAGGGUUGGGCGGCCGCGUCGUGCAUUAGCACGCCGAGGAAAGUCCGGGCUCCACGAAACGACGGUGCCGGGUAACGCCCGGCGGGGGCGACCCCAGGGAAAGUGCCACAGAGAGCAGACGGCGACGGCUUCGGCCACGUCAUGGUGAAAGGGUGCGGUAAAAGCGCACCGCGCGCCUGGUAACAGGGGCGGCACGGCAAACCCCACCGGGAGCAAGACCGAAUAGGGGCGGCACAUGAGCUUUGUUUCAGCUCGUCGCCCGGGUUGGUUGCUUGAGCCCGUAUGCAAAUACGGGCCUAGAGGAAUGGUCGCACAUCGCAUCUCGGUGCGAGGACAGAACCCGGCUUACAGACCCUCUGGCAUU